rnacentral:rRNA from 1 species
AACGAACGCUGGCGGCAGGCCUAACACAUGCAAGUCGAGCGAGGACUUCGGUUCUAGCGGCGGACGGGUGAGUAACGCGUGGGAAUGUGCCCUUCUCUACGGAAGAGCCCUGGGAAACUGGGAGUAAUACCGUAUACGCCCUUUUGGGGAAAGAUUUAUCGGAGAAGGAUCAGCCCGCGUUGGAUUAGGUAGUUGGUGGGGUAAUGGCCUACCAAGCCGACGAUCCAUAGCUGGUUUGAGAGGAUGAUCAGCCACACUGGGACUGAGACACGGCCCAGACUCCUACGGGAGGGAGCAGUGGGGAAUCUUAGACAAUGGGGGCAACCCUGAUCUAGCCAUGCCGUGUGAGUGAUGAAGGCCUUAGGGUUGUAAAGCUCUUUCAGCUGGGAAGAUAAUGACGGUACCAGCAGAAGAAGCCCCGGCUAACUCCGUG